UCCCUGGUGGCUCAGAGGGUAAAGCGUCUGUCUGUCUGCAAUGCAGGAGACCUGGGUUUGAUCCCCGGGUGGGGAA
rnacentral:tRNA from 1 species